rnacentral:rRNA from 1 species
UAGGGAAUAUUGGGCAAUGGGCGAAAGCCUGACCCAGCAACGCCGCGUGCACGAUGAAGGCCUUCGGGUCGUAAAGUGCUUUUCUGGGAGAUGAGAAAGGACAGUAUCCCAGGAAUAAGCCUCGGCUAACUACGUGCCAGCAGCCGCGGUAAAACGUAGGAGGCAAGCGUUAUCCGGAUUUACUGGGCGUAAAGCGCGUGUAGGCGGUUCGGCAAGUUGGAUGUGAAAUCUCCCGGCUCAACUGGGAGGGGUCGUUCAAUACUACCGAACUUGAGGGCAUCAGAGGAAGGUGGAAUUCCCGGUGUAGUGGUGAAAUGCGUAGAUAUCGGGAGGAACACCAGUGGCGAAGGCGGCCUUCUGGGAUGCAUCUGACGCUCAGACGCGAAAGCUAGGGGAGCGAACGGG